GGAUGUGGGUGCAAUCUGGCUGCAACAUCUGUCACCCCAUUGAUGGCCAGGGUUGAUUUGGCUGAUGUGGCUGGCUAGGCAGGUGUCCCCUUCCUUCAUGUGCGUCCCUCCCGGUCGGUCAAAGAGGAUAACCUUCCCCGAAUACAGAUAGGUGGCGCAGUGGGUAAGG
rnacentral:snRNA from 1 species